CCUACGGGAGGCUGCAGUGAGGAAUAUUGAUCAAUGGGCGGGAGCCUGAACCAGCCAAGUCGCGUGAGGGAAGACGGUCCUAUGGAUUGUAAACCUCUUUAGGCGGGGAGCAAUGCCGGGCACGCGUGCCCGGAGGGAGAGUACCCGCAGAAUAAGCAUCGGCUAACUCCGUGCCAGCAGCCGCGGUAAUACGGAGGAUGCGAGCGUUAUCCGGAUUUAGUGGGUUUAAAGGGUGCGUAGGCGGAUUUUUAAGUCAGCGGUAAAAUGUCCGGGCUCAACCCGGGCCGGCCGUUGAAACUGGGGAUCUUGAGUGGGCGAGAAGUAUGCGGAAUGCGUGGUGUAGCGGUGAAAUGCAUAGAUAUCACGCAGAACUCCGAUUGCGAAGGCAGCAUACCGGCGCCCGACUGACGCUGAGGCACGAAAGCGUGGGGAUCGAACAGGAUUAGAUACCCUUGUAGUC
rnacentral:rRNA from 1 species